GCUAACGGCUGAACUGGCAACUUGGAGAAGUGGCAAGUCUUCCAGUAUGGGGAGCAAACAGCUAUGGGUCAAGCCCGAUACCUUUAAGAGAAGUCUUAUUGUGAGGGCGAGUUGUAUAACACCAUAGGGCUGGCCGCCCCAUAUGAAAAGAUUUUAUUAGAAUUGAAUGAAACUUUGUUUAUAUAUUGAUAAUGACAGUAUAUAUAUCGUGUCUUGACUAAUUGCGUGCCAGCAGUCGCGGUAAUACGUAAGAGACUAGUGUUAUUCAUCUUAAUUAGGUUUAAAGGGUACCCAGACGGUCUAUAUAGCUUAUAAAAUGUUAGUAUAAGACUAGAGUUUUAUGUAAGAGGGCAGUACUUGAGGAGGAGAGAUGAAAUUUCGUGAUACCAAAGGGACUCUGUAAAGGCGAAGGCAGCCCUCUAUGUAAAAACUGACGUUGAAGGACGAAGGCACAGAGAACAAACAGGAUUAGAUACCCAAGUAGUCUUUGCAGUAAAUGAUGAAUGCCAUAGGUUAGAUAAGACAUAUUUUACCAUUCUGCUCCUCCCGCAGUUUAGGAUCCACAAAAUAUCAUAUUUGGUCUAUAAAUGAAAGUGUAAGCAUUUCACCUCAAGAGUAAUGUGGCAACGCAGGAACUGAAAUCACUAGACCGUUUCUGACACCA
rnacentral:rRNA from 1 species